rnacentral:lncRNA from 1 species
UUUCCUUUGACCCUUGAAACACUUCCAGGACCCAGUUUUUAUCUUAUAGCGUGGAAGUAUGGCAUCAUGAUGUCUACUGCACAUCUAUUCCCAACCCCAUAUUCAGUUGUUUCAUGUAGUCUCUUGAAAUCUAUGGAAACUAGAAAACACUACAAAUAAAGCCUUGAUUUAUUGUUUUGUUGAUUGUCUUGACUUAAGAAACUGAUAGACAAUGUGUUAUUAAUGCAGAUUAAACUUAAAAAUGUUUACCUCAGUGGCCGUUAUACUGUGAAUACCACAAAAACUGAGCAAAUAUUUUUCUAGUAUUUGAAAAGUAUUAUCCAAUUCAGCAAAUAAUGUCACUUUUAAGUGAAUAAAGUAUGGGCAUGCCUUCAUUGCUUUAGUUUCUUGUUACUUGUAAACAC